GGACAGGUGGCCGAGCGGCUGAAGGCACCGGUUUGCUAAACCGGCGUAGGGCGAAAGCUCUACCGCGGGUUCGAAUCCCGCCCUGUCCG
rnacentral:tRNA from 1 species